rnacentral:rRNA from 1 species
AGAAUGAACGCUGGCGGCGUGCUUUACACAUGCAAGUUGAGCGAGGCCACCCGCAAGGGUGAGUCGAGCGGCGAACGGGUGAGUAACGCGUGGAUAACCUGCCCUGAAGUGGGGAAUAACCCGGGGAAACUCGGGCUAAUACCGCAUGAUACCGAGAGGUCAAAGAGGGCUCGCAAGAGCUCUUGCUACAGGAGGGGUCCGCGUUCGAUUAGCUAGUUGGUAGGGUAAUGGCCUACCAAGGCGACGAUCGAUAGCCGGCCUGAGAGGGUGAUCGGCCACACUGGAACUGAGACACGGUCCAGACUCCUACGGGAGGCAGCAGUGGGAAUUUGCGCAAUGGGCUAACGCCUGACGCAGCAACGCCGCGUGGAGAUGAAGGUCUUGGAUUGUAAACUCCUGUCAGCGAAGGGAAAAAGGGAGGGGCCUAAAGUACGCUCCUAGACUUGAUUGUACCUGCAGAGGAAGCCCGGACUAACUCUGUGCCAGCACGCCGACGGUAAUCGUA